UACGUAGGAGGCGAGCGUUGUCCGGAGUUACUGGGCGUAAAGGGCGCGUAGGCGGCGCACCAAGUCAGGCGUGAAAGCCCUGGGCUCAACCCGGGAAUUGCGCUUGAGACUGGUGUGCUUGAGUACGGGAGAGGAUAGUGGAAUUCCCAGUGUAGAGGUGAAAUUCGUAGAUAUUGGGAAGAACACCGGUGGCGAAGGCGGCUAUCUGGACCGUAACUGACGCUGAGGCGCGAAAGCGUGGGGAGCAAACAGG
rnacentral:rRNA from 1 species